UGCUGCCAAAACUUCUACCACUAUUUAACAAGCAUCACCUUCUUUUAAGCCUUCGAUGACAAUAUCUCAUCUGUAUUUCCACUCUUCACCAACAAGUUCUUAGAGUUCCUUCUUGCCUUCACCUACCACCUGGUCCAAAGGCAUUGCCACGUAUUUUAACUUUUGUUAUAUCAGCUUCCGACUUUCAGGAAUGGAAAUACCAAUGGCAAAGAUGAAUCUCAG
rnacentral:lncRNA from 1 species